UUGAAUAAUGUUGACAUCGAUUUUCUGGCAGCUUUUUUCGUUUUCGAUGUAAAUAAUCUCAACUAGGCAAAAAAAACCAAUACCUUGAAAAAGCUGUGUGAGAAACCUCGAUUCCACCCGCGGCAGGAAAUGCCGCGAAAAAUUCCGCGAAAUAAAUUCAAAAACCCAACAAAGUAAUGGGUCAUCUCUGGCGAGUGCAAUUUCCACUGUCGGAACCGCUGCAACGGCAACCUUCAACAGCAGCAGCAGUACCUAACAAUUUAACUACGGGAACUGGAACAUAAGAGGCAAUCAGUGUUUUCGCAAUGGAAAUAUUCCUACUGGUCGCUUUUGGAAGCGGUUCGAACCGUAACAACGGUGACGGACUCAAAGAUUCGCUCCUUGGCACUUUCGGAAAUAGUGGAAAUAGUUAUAGUGUUCUGCUGCAAUAAAUCAGCCAGCUUCGGUUAUUACGAAGACUUAAAUAAAUGUUCCAGUGAAUAGUUUAUUUCAUUAA